GCGCGAAAACUUUACAAUGCGGGAAACCGUGAUAAGGGAACCUCGAGUGCCUGUAUAUGCAGGCUGUCCAGGUGUCUAAAAAACACCUGAAGAAAGGGCCGGGCAAGACCGGUGCCAGCCGCCGCGGUAAUACCGGCGGCUCGAGUGGUGGCCACUUUUAUUGGGCUUAAAGCGUUCGUAGCUGGGUUGUUAAGUCUCUUGGGAAAUCUGACGGCUCAACCGUCAGGCGUCCAAGGGAUACUGGCAAUCUUGGAACCGGGAGAGGUGAGGGGUACUUCGGGGGUAGGAGUGAAAUCCUGUAAUCCUCGAGGGACCACCUGUGGCGAAGGCGCCUCACCAGAACGGCUUCGACAGUGAGGGACGAAAGCUGGGGGAGCAAACC
rnacentral:rRNA from 1 species